CAAUUACUCGCAGAGCUGAAUUGAGGCGUGGUUUGAAUUUCGCAGACGAAAUUCUUUUAAGGGGUGGAGAAUGUAAUAUACCAGAUUUUGGUAUAAAAAUAAAAAUAAAUAAAAAUAGUGUGAGAAACUAUUUUUAUUGAAUUUAUAGGAGUAAAAUAUAAGUCAGAAAUGACUUGUGCUAAAAUCGGACUGGAAACAAAAGAUUUAGAACUUUUUGUUGGAAACGGGACAGAUAAAUUAGCAGAAAAUGCACAAUCUCAGAAAAUUAUGAAAAUUGGAGGAUAAGUCAGAAAAUUGGAGGCUAGAUUUGAAGUUUCAUAUUUUUCUGACACCCGUAGAGUGAGAAAUAAAAUACGAGAGUUAUCUGAUAAAGAUUAUAGUUCGGUACAGUUUUCGGUGACCAAAUGGGGUCAAAACUAAAAACUUAAAAUAU
rnacentral:lncRNA from 1 species